AGUGAAUAAAUGCAUAGUUGUUGUAAGCAUCAACAUCAGAUUGAGAAUUGAAUACAUUCAAAUGAUCAAAAGAUGAAUCAAAGGUUGUUGUUGAGACAUUUGCUUGCAUUGGAACAUUAGCUACUUCAACAUUAGGCACUUUGUAGUGAUAGUAGCUAUUUGCAUCACCUUGUUGGCCAAAGAAAUUUUGGUCCAUUUUAGUUGCAACCAUGUUCAUCGUUGAAGUAUUCAUCAUGGUGUUGCUCUUCUGUUCUUGAUUAACACUUGAAGUGUAGACUUGAAACUGCAUGUGCAUGUUUUGAUUAACACUAGGAGUUGGAACCAUAGUACUCAUGAUGGUGUUCUUGUUUUGUUGAACACUUCCAGGGUAGAUUUGA
rnacentral:lncRNA from 1 species